GCAUCAUCACACUUGUACCAUUGAUUACUCAAGCGCAAAUAGGUCACGUAGUGACCAGCAUCAAGUUUACCUCUGUGUGUGACAACAGCAAACAACUCAAACUCAGAUGACAUAUCAUUUGAAGCAUAUGGUUCAUCUCCAUCAAAUGGGAAGAUCCUGUUGCCAAAUCUACUUCUCAAAAUGGAAGAAGAAAGAUAAGGUGUCAUGUC
rnacentral:misc_RNA from 1 species